GGGCCCGCACAAGCAGUGGAGCAUGUGGUUUAAUUCGAUGCAACGCGAAGAACCUUACCAGGGCUUGACAUACUACAAAUCUUUUAGAGAUAGAAGAGUGCUUUCGAGAAUGUAGAUACAGGUGGUGCAUGGCUGUCGUCAGCUCGUGUCGUGAGAUGUUGGUUAAGUCCCGCAACGAGCGCAACCCUCGUUUUUAGUUGCCAGCGAGUAAUGUCGGGAACUCCAGGGAGACUGCCGGUGAUAAACCGGAGGAAGGUGGGGAUGACGUCAAGUCCUCAUGGCCCUUACGGGCUGGGCUACACACGUGCUACAAUGGCGGUGACAGUGGGAAGCUAAGGGGCGACCUGGAG
rnacentral:rRNA from 1 species